AUUGAACGCUGGCGGCAGGCCUAACACAUGCAAGUCGAGCGGAUGAAGGGAGCUUGCUCCUGGAUUCAGCGGCGGACGGGUGAGUAAUGCCUAGGAAUCUGCCUGGUAGUGGGGGAUAACGUCCGGAAACGGGCGCUAAUACCGCAUACGUCCUGAGGGAGAAAGAGGGGGAUCUUCGGACCUCACGCUAUCAGAUGAGCCUAGGUCGGAUUAGCUAGUUGGUGGGGUAAAGGCCUACCAAGGCGACGAUCCGUAACUGGUCUGAGAGGAUGAUCAGUCACACUGGAACUGAGACACGGUCCAGACUCCUACGGGAGGCAGCAGUGGGGAAUAUUGGACAAUGGGCGAAAGCCUGAUCCAGCCAUGCCGCGUGUGAAGAAGGUCUUCGGAUUGUAAAGCACUUUAAGUUGGGAGGAAGGGCAGUAAGUUAAUACCUUGCUGUUUUGACGUUACCAACAGAAUAAGCACCGGCUAACUUCGUG
rnacentral:rRNA from 1 species